rnacentral:rRNA from 1 species
UACGUAGGUGGCGAGCGUUAUCCGAAAUGAUUGGGCGUAAAGGGUGCGUAGGCGGCCUGCUAAGUCUGGAGUGAAAGGUACCGGCUCAACCGGUACAGGCUCUGGAAACUGGCGGGCUAGAGAGCAGGAGAGGGCGGUGGAACUCCAUGUGUAGCGGUAAAAUGCGUAGAUAUAUGGAGGAACACCAGUGGCGAAGGCGGCUUCCUGGUCUGCAACUGACACUGAGGCGCGAAAGCGUGGGGAGCAAACAGG